AGAAAAGUAAUAACACAAGAGGCACUUUAAUGAAUUUGAAGGAAGAACAUUGAUUAUAGAUAUUGUGCAAGAAUAAGAAGAAGAAGAGAAAAGAUAAAUAUAAAAGAUAGAAAAUAAAUGGAUACUCAAACCUCGAACUUGAGCCAAGCUUUAAUACCUAUUGAAUCUCAUAUUUUGAUGAUGAAACUAAUUGACGGUGUUUAUGAUUUGAUUUGAGUUUUG
rnacentral:lncRNA from 1 species